rnacentral:rRNA from 1 species
GAACUGAAGAGUUUGAUCCUGGCUCAGAUUGAACGCUGGCGGCAUGCCUUACACAUGCAAGUCGAACGGUAACGCGGGGCAACCUGGCGACGAGUGGCGAACGGGUGAGUAACGCAUCGGAACGUGCCCAGUAGUGGGGGAUAGCCCGGCGAAAGCCGGAUUAAUACCGCAUACGACCUACGGGUGAAAGCGGGGGACCGUAAGGCCUCGCGCUAUUGGAGCGGCCGAUGUCAGAUUAGGUAGUUGGUGGGGUAAAAGCCUACCAAGCCGACGAUCUGUAGCUGGUCUGAGAGGACGACCAGCCACACUGGGACUGAGACACGGCCCAGACUCCUACGGGAGGCAGCAGUGGGGAAUUUUGGACAAUGGGCGCAAGCCUGAUCCAGCCAUGCCGCGUGCGGGAUGAAGGCCUUCGGGUUGUAAACCGCUUUUGUCAGGGAAGAAACGCUCCGGGCCAAUACCCUGGGGUGAUGACGGUACCUGAAGAAUAAGCACCGGCUAACUACGUGCCAGCAGCCGCGGUAAUACGUAGGGUGCAAGCGUUAAUCGGAAUUACUGGGCGUAAAGCGUGCGCAUGCGGUUUUGUAAGACAGAGGUGAAAUCCCCGGGCUCAACCUGGGAACUGCCUUUGUGACUGCAAAGCUUGAGUGCGGCAGAGGGGGAUGGAAUUCCGCGUGUAGCAGUGAAAUGCGUAGAUAUGCGGAGGAACACCGAUGGCGAAGGCAAUCCCCUGGGCCUGC